rnacentral:rRNA from 1 species
UACGUAGGGUGCAAGCGUUGUCCGGAAUUAUUGGGCGUAAAGAGCUCGUAGGCGGUUUGUCGCGUCGAAUGUGAAAACCCGGGGCUCAACUCCGGGCCUGCAUUCGAUACGGGCAGACUAGAGUUCGGUAGGGGAGACUGGAAUUCCUGGUGUAGCGGUGAAAUGCGCAGAUAUCAGGAGGAACACCGAUGGCGAAGGCAGAUCUCUGGGCCUUACCUGACGCUGAGGAGCGAAAGCUGGGGGAGCGAACAGG